rnacentral:lncRNA from 1 species
UUAGCCCGAAUUUUAGUUUUCCUUGCUCUAUCAUUUAAAAUAUAGUCUAAUUAGGACUCACAUUAUUCAAAUUGAUCCAAAAUCAUAUUUUGGCAAAAUUAUAGUUUUGCCCCUAAACUUUUGCAUAUUUACACUUUUUCCCCAAAGCUCGUAAAUUAAACUUCAGCCUAUUUUCUUAUGUUUUAUGACAUGCUGAUCAUUUUUUCCUUCUAUGGAAACAUCAAAUUCUCACUCUAACAUGUACUUAUGACUAAUAGGUAUUUUUACCGAUUAAGCCCUUUUGCUAAUUUUCGCUUAAAACCGAGUAGCACAAGUUGUCUAACAUAAUUUAAAACCUCAUAUUAUAUCAUAAAACACCAAAAUACACAAAUUUCACCUAUGGGUAUUUUUCCAAAUAUGAACCCUAGGUUGAAUUAUUGCUAGCAUAAGCUUAAUCGAGCUACCGGGACUCCAAAAACGUAAAAAUCAUUAAAAACGAGGCUAGAACGGACUUACAAUCGAGCUUGGAAGCUUGAAAAACCUUAGCCAUGGUUUCUCCUUGCUAUAUUCGGCCAUGGGGUUGAAGAUGAGCAAAAUUGGCUUUUAAUUUUGUAUUUUAAUUCAUUUUACCCCUAAAUAACCAAAAUGCCCUUACUACUAAACUUUCCAAAAAUUCCAUCCAUGUCCAAUUUUUGUCCAUAGACUUAGAAAUUGGUAAAAUU